rnacentral:rRNA from 1 species
CCUACGGGAGGCAGCAGUGAGGAAUAUUGGUCAAUGGACGAGAGUCUGAACCAGCCAAGUAGCGUGAAGGAUGACUGCCCUAUGGGUUGUAAACUUCUUUUAUAUGGGAAUAAAAUGUUCCACGUGUGGGAUUUUGUAUGUACCAUAUGAAUAAGGAUCGGCUAACUCCGUGCCAGCAGCCGCGGUAAUACGGAGGAUCCGAGCGUUAUCCGGAUUUAUUGGGUUUAAAGGGAGCGUAGGUGGAUUGUUAAGUCAGUUGUGAAAGUUUGCGGCUCAACCGUAAAAUUGCAGUUGAAACUGGCAGUCUUGAGUACAGUAGAGGUGGGCGGAAUUCGUGGUGUAGCGGUGAAAUGCUUAGAUAUCACGAAGAACUCCUAUUGCGAAGGCAGUUCACUGGACUGCAACUGACACUGAGGCGCGAAAGUGUGGGUAUCAAACAGGAUUAGAUACCCUUGUAGUC